rnacentral:rRNA from 1 species
ACCGCGUGAGCGAAGAAGGCCUUCGGGUCGUAAAGCUCUGUUGUUAGGGAAGAACAAGUAUCGGAGUAACUGCCGGUACCUUGACGGUACCUAACCAGAAAGCCACGGCUAACUACGUGCCAGCAGCCGCGGUAAUACGUAGGUGGCAAGCGUUGUCCGGAAUUAUUGGGCGUAAAGCGCGCGCAGGCGGUCCUUUAAGUCUGAUGUGAAAGCCCACGGCUCAACCGUGGAGGGUCAUUGGAAACUGGGGGACUUGAGUGCAGAAGAGGAGAGUGGAAUUCCACGUGUAGCGGUGAAAUGCGUAGAGAUGUGGAGGAACACCAGUGGCGAAGGCGACUCUCUGGUCUGUAACUGACGCUGAGGCGCGGAAGCGUGGGGAGCAAACAGGAUUAGAUACCCUGGUAGUCCACGCCGUAAACGAUGAGUGCUAAGUGUUAGAGGGUUUCCGCCCUUUAGUGCUGCAGCUAACGCAUUAAGCACUCCGCCUGGGGAGUACGGCCGCAAGGCUG